AUACGUAGGGGGCUAGCGUUGUCCGGAUUUACUGGGCGUAAAGGGUGAGUAGGCGGUAACGUGUGUCAGAUGUUUAAUCUAUGAGCUCAACUCAUAUCAGCAUUUGAAACUACGUAACUUGAGUGCAGGAGAGGUAAGUGGAAUUCCUAGUGUAGCGGUGGAAUGCGUAGAUAUUAGGAGGAACACCGGUGGCGAAGGCGACUUACUGGACUGUAACUGACGCUGAGUCACGAAAGCGUGGGGAGCGAACAGGAUUAGAUACCCUGGUAGUCCACGCUGUAAACGAUGAGUGCUAGGUGUUGGCUGAGAAGUCAGUGCCGAAGUAAACGCAAUAAGCACUCCGCCUGGGGAGUACGGUCGCAAGACUGAA
rnacentral:rRNA from 1 species